AUUGAACGCUGGCGGCAUGCCUUACACAUGCAAGUCGAACGGCAGCGGGGACUUCGGUCCGCCGGCGAGUGGCGAACGGGUGAGUAAUGUAUCGGAACGUACCAUUCAGUGGGGGAUAACUAUCCGAAAGGAUAGCUAAUACCGCAUAUUCUGUGAGCAGGAAAGCAGGGGAUCGCAAGACCUUGCGCUGAUUGAGCGGCCGAUAUCAGAUUAGCUGGUUGGUGAGGUAACGGCUCACCAAGGCUACGAUCUGUAGCGGGUCUGAGAGGAUGAUCCGCCACACUGGGACUGAGACACGGCCCAGACUCCUACGGGAGGCAGCAGUGGGGAAUUUUGGACAAUGGGCGCAGGCCUGAUCCAGCCAUGCCGCGUGAGUGAAGAAGGCCUUCGGGUUGUAAAGCUCUUUCGGCCGGGAAGAAAUCGCAUCAGCUAAUACCUGGUGUGGAUGACGGUACCGGAAUAAGAAGCACCGGCUAACUACGUGCCAGCCGCCGCAGUAAUAC
rnacentral:rRNA from 1 species